rnacentral:rRNA from 1 species
GUGGGGAAUAUUGGACAAUGGGGGGAACCCUGAUCCAGCCAUGCCGCGUGUGUGAAGAAGGCCUUUUGGUUGUAAAGCACUUUAAGCGAGGAGGAGGCUACCGAGAUUAAUACUCUUGGAUAGUGGACGUUACUCGCAGAAUAAGCACCGGCUAACUCUGUGCCAGCAGCCGCGGUAAUACAGAGGGUGCAAGCGUUAAUCGGAUUUACUGGGCGUAAAGCGCGCGUAGGUGGCCAAUUAAGUCAAAUGUGAAAUCCCCGAGCUUAACUUGGGAAUUGCAUUCGAUACUGGUGGGCUAGAGUAUGGGAGAGGAUGGUAGAAUUCCAGGUGUAGCGGUGAAAUGCGUAGAGAUCUGGAGGAAUACCGAUGGCGAAGGCAGCCAUCUGGCCUAAUACUGACACUGAGGUGCGAAAGCAUGGGGAGCAAACAGGAUUAGAUACCCCAGUAGUCC